CUACACUUCUCGUCCCCUCCUUCCCCCUCGAACCCACAGUCGCUCCUGCCCCAUGAUCCCUUUCUCAAGAAAUCGCACUGCCACUCAGCUCCGCGGCCAGCCGGGAAAGCUGGGCGCUCCCUCACCGCACAGCCCCGUUUCCCUUGGCCACCAAGUCAACCUGUCCUGUCCUGCACACUUGAGCCUCAUCCAGCUAGCCCUGCACAGCCUGCCAAGACCUCAGGUGCCUGAAAUGCCCCUUAUUUCGGUAGUUUCUGGGGACAUGGCUGACCUAUUAGCUAGCUCGCUCUGGAGCAGAACCCAGCUUCUCUGACUUUUCCUACUGGCAUCGAGUUUUCCUGGGCAGAAAGGAAGAAAUGUGACAUAAAAAAUACAGGUUGUGUAGACCUCAUUGUCCUCGGGAUUAAAGUCCAGAUGCCAAUCAUAAUUUGCAAGUCUCUUCAAGAUCUGGCGGCUGCUAAAUGAGGAGAUGUCGGUCAGAGGGUACACUUGUGUUUAUGAAACCGCACUAAGCUCUGUUUGGGUGACAUCUGGGAACCAGGUGCCGUGCCCUUCGAACCCCCGCUCUUCUGGCACAGUCGGGCCCGGCCCUGCCUGCGCACAGGAAAUGCCCUUUUAUAUGGAUGAAGUGCAGGGGUCCAGCCUGUCCCCUAGUCACACCAGAGACAGAGAGAGGGAGAAAGAAAAUGAGGACAUUGUCUGGAUGCUCGGAUGGUUCUGGAAAAGUCAGCUCGAGCAGAGGGAGACGUGUUUGGCACUCCGCUGGGCACAGGGACUACGAAUAUGAGUACAAAUGCUACCAUCUGUGCUGAUAUGAUCUAUGCUUGCCCAUGCAUCGAUCACCUGGGGACGGCAAGAGCAGAACGUUGUAACGGGUUGCCUGUGAGUGGUUUGGCUACAGCAGUGGGAGAGAGACUAAGCGGUCACCUUGUGAAUUUGCUAUCAGAGGCACCUAUGACCUAUGCAGACAAUAAAUGAGGGACACCUGGCCGGCUCA
rnacentral:lncRNA from 1 species